UACGAAGGGGGCUAGCGUUGUUCGGAAUUACUGGGCGUAAAGCGCACGUAGGCGGAUAUUUAAGUCAGGGGUGAAAUCCCGCAGCUCAACUGCGGAACUGCCUUUGAUACUGGGUAUCUUGAGUAUGGAAGAGGUUAGUGGAAUUGCGAGUGUAGAGGUGAAAUUCGUAGAUAUUCGCAGGAACACCAGUGGCGAAGGCGGCUAACUGGUCCAUAACUGACGCUGAGGUGCGAAAGCGUGGGGAGCAAACAGGAUUAGAUACCCCCGUAGUCC
rnacentral:rRNA from 1 species